GUAGGUGGCGAGCGUUGUCCGGAUUUACUGGGCGUAAAGAGCGCGCAGGCGGUCGUACAAGUCGCGUGUGGAAGCCCCCGGCUCAACUGGGGAGGGUCACGCGAUACUGUUCGACUCGAAGGCAGGAGAGGGAAGUGGAAUUCCCGGUGUAGUGGUGAAAUGCGUAGAUAUCGGGAGGAACACCAGUGGCGAAGGCGACUUCCUGGCCUGUUCUUGACGCUGAGGCGCGAAAGCUAGGGUAGCAAACGGGAUUAGAUACCCCGGUAGUCCUAGCCGUAAACGAUGGACACUAGGUGUUGGUGGUAUCAACCCCGCCAGUGCCGUAGCUAACGCAUUAAGUGUCCCGCCUGGGGAGUACGGCCGCAAGGCUA
rnacentral:rRNA from 1 species